AGAAUCAACGCUGGCGGCGUGCCUAACACAUGCAAGUCGAACGAGAAAGUGGAGCAAUACCAUGAGUAAAGUGGCGCACGGGUGAGUAACACGUGACUAACCUACCCUUGAGUGGGGGAUAACCUAGAGAAAUCUGGGACUAAUACCGCAUAAUACCUUCGGGUCCAAAGGAGCAAUUCGCUUAAGGAGGGGGUCGCGGCCGAUUAGUUAGUUGGCGGGGUAAUGGCCCACCAAGACUGUGAUCGGUA
rnacentral:rRNA from 1 species